ensembl:snRNA U6 U6 spliceosomal RNA
GUGCUUGCCUCGGCAGCGUAUAUGCUACAGUCGAAACGAUAGAGAUUAGCAUGGCUCCCGCGGGAGGAUGUCGCGCCAAUCCAUGAAGCAUUCCAUAUCUUU